rnacentral:rRNA from 1 species
UACGUAGGGGGCAAGCGUUACUCGGAAUCACUGGGCAUAAAGGGCGUGUAGGCGGGCUUUCAAGUCGGUUGUGAAAUCCCUCAGCUCAACUGAGGAACUGCAUCCGAUACUGUUUGUCUUGAGGACGAGAGGGGAGAGUGGAACUUCUGGUGGAGCGGUGAAAUGCGUAGAUAUCGUAAGGAAGACCAGUGGCGAAGGCGGGUCUCUGGACAGUUCCUGACGCUGAGGCGCGAAGGCCAGGGGAGCAAACGGG